CCAUAUUGAAAUCGGGUUUCGACAGCAGCGGUCUGUAAUUUUUCAAACCAUAAGUUCGUUGUCGACGAAACCUGCAUAUAAUGUGG
rnacentral:pre_miRNA from 1 species